GGUGUGACGCUGCAGAGAGUGUCUCCCUAAACUCAUGGAGAACCAAAACACAUGGCAAAUCUUCCACGGGGUUAGAGAAAAAGCUAUUCAUCCUGCCACCUGACACUUCCCUGUCCACUCAGAAUUGGCUCUUCAGAGACAAGAGAAAAAUCAGAAGGGCCAUCAAAUGUACUACUGUAUUUGCCAAGGAAGAACCCCAUCAAAAUAUCAGACAAAAGAACAACCAAGAUACCACAGUGAAAUAAAGUAUAAUAAAAAAAAUAUUCUUCACGCAUACACAAG